rnacentral:rRNA from 1 species
UACAGAGGUCCCAAGCGUUGUUCGGAUUCACUGGGCGUAAAGGGUGCGUAGGUGGUCAGGUAAGUCUGAUGUGAAAUCUCCGAGCUCAACUCGGAAACUGCAUUGGAAACUACCUGGCUCGAGGGUUGGAGGGGGGACUGGAAUGCUUGGUGUAGCAGUGAAAUGCGUAGAUAUCAAGCGGAACACCAGUGGCGAAGGCGAGUCCCUGGACAACUCCUGACACUGAUGCACGAAAGCUAGGGGAGCAAACAGG